rnacentral:rRNA from 1 species
GAUGAACGCUGGCGGCGUGCCUAAUACAUGCCAGUUGAGCGAACGGACGAGAAGCUUGCUUCUCUGAUGUUAGCGGCGGACGGGUGAGUAACACGUGGAUAACCUACCUAUAAGACUGGGAUAACUUCGGGAAACCGGAGCUAAUACCGGAUAAUAUUUUGAACCGCAUGGUUCAAAAGUGAAAGACGGUCUUGCUGUCACUUAUAGAUGGAUCCGCGCUGCAUUAGCUAGUUGGUAAGGUAACGGCUUACCAAGGCAACGAUGCAUAGCCGACCUGAGAGGGUGAUCGGCCACACUGGAACUGAGACACGGUCCAGACUCCUACGGGAGGCAGCAGUAGGGAAUCUUCCGCAAUGGGCGAAAGCCUGACGGAGCAACGCCGCGUGAGUGAUGAAGGUCUUCGGAUCGUAAAACUCUGUUAUUAGGGAAGAACAUAUGUGUAAGUAACUGUGCACAUCUUGACGGUACCUAAUCAGAAAGCCACGGCUAACUACGUG